rnacentral:ribozyme from 1 species
GCAAAAAGGGGGAGAGGAAUCAUCUUCCCUUUGGGAUCCUUUUUUUCCUUUUUUUUUUUUCCUUUUCACCCUCCUUCCCAAUGCACAAGCACAGGAUCAGAAAGGAAAAGAGAUAUCGCAAUGGAUG